rnacentral:misc_RNA from 1 species
GAUGAAGAACGUAGCGAAUCGCGAUAAGUAAUGUGAAUUGCAGAAUUCAGUGAAUCAUCGAAUCUUUGAACGCACAUUGCGCCCCUUGGUAUUCCAUGGGGCAUGCCUGUUCGAGCGUCAUUUGUACCUUCAAGCUUUGCUUGGUGUUGGGUGUUUGUCUCGCCUUUGCGUGUAGACUCGCCUUAAAAUAAUUGGCAGCCGGCGUAUUGAUUUCGGAGCGCAGUACAUCUCGCGCUUUGCACUCAUAACGACAGCGUCCAAAAGUACAUUUUACACUCUUGACCUCGGAUCAGGUAGGGAUACCCGCUGAACUUAAGCAUAUCAAUAAGCGGAGGA